UUCACAUUCCUAUUUUCUUUUUCUCUGUGUUCUCACUUCAUCUCCUUUUUUCCUUUUUUGUUUUCAGAAAGUGUCAUUUCCCCACCAAUUUGUUUCCUCUGUUUCCAUUCUUUCUUCUUCAUUUUGGUGUCUUCUUCAAUUCCACUUUUUCCUUUUGUUUUUGGUUGAGUUUUAGAGCUGCUGAGGGCUUCCAUUUUCAUUCUAUUUUUUGCGAUUUUGGUUUGGGUUCUUUUUCUUUAAAUGGUCUGAUUUUUUGUGGUUUUAUUUUUGGAACAGGUUACAGUAACAACGACGGCUUUGGCAAAGAAUUUGUGGGAGAAGUUAAGAAGAAGAUAGAGGCUCUUCAAACUAUUGGAGAUUCUCUGUAACUUCAAUCCAAGCAAGAUGGUUCAGGGUCGUGCUACUCUUAGAAAGCAAUGAGUAAUCCCUUUGCAGCGUGCUCACCAAGUGUUUGAGAAUAUUACGCAGCGAAAGAUUCCCGAAACCCAAAUUUACGCAGUGUGCCUUGCAUGCCCAUCAAGGCUGAUUUGAAGUGGCCGAAAGAGGCAUGGAUUCUGGGUCAAGAUGUUUCUGCCGGGUUCACUCCUAGCAUGUAUAUUAUUCUUUUCCCUCACUUCUGGCUCCCGCUGUGUGCUCUGCUUCACACUACUGCCUCUCAUCCACUCCCUAUCGCUGCAAUUUUAUAUUUGUCAUUUUGGUUCCGGCCUUGCCUCUUAAGCCUCUUAAGAGGGACAGGCUCAUGAGUAAAAUUGGCGUAUCUUAAUGUCCUGUGCUUAUUUGGAGCCCAUUAUGGCUUGCACAAGUUGCUCACACUUCCAUGAUCUAUUGGAAAUGAACUUGCCUAGCGUUUGAUGAAAGUGUGGUGACAUAACAGACGAGAUCUAAGAGGUCCUUGGAAAUUCAACAAUUGAGGGAGCGUAAGAAAGAGUAUGACUUGAAGACAGCAAUAUCUUUGGUUAAAGAGACAGCUAAAACCAAGUUUGUAGAAACAGUAGCAGCCCAUUUCCGCCUCAACAUUGACCCUAAAUAUAAUGAUCAACAAUUAAGAGCAACAGGUGUUGCCUAGGAUAUUUGUGUGAUUCAAAUUUGUCACCAUGAGCAAGUCAGGACAACCACGGGAUUUGAAAAAUACAUGUACAAGAAAUUUUUGAUUUCUACCGGUAUUAGUGGUGCAAGCUACUACACUGGAACUUUCAAUAUUGUCAAUCGCUCUCCGGAUGGAAGCCAUUCUGGCUGCCACGUAAUAGAGCAGUUGCCAGAAGAAUCCAGAACAUGCGAUGGAGAGCUGAUGGUGGUCUGUGAUAGAUUAUUCAAUUUUUGUGAUCUUGAAACUAAAUUUCUUUGCGUUGCUCUAUUUUUCCUUUUUUUUGCUAAAUCAUGUUCACAUAUUGGCUGAUAUUAAUGUAGUGUUGCAGUGUUUGAUAUAUCGAAUUGGUUGUCUUGAGCAGCCAGUGUUAACAUGCAUACACAGGAAAUGAUCCUGGAAGGAAAUUUUUGCUUGAUGGAGAGGUCACUAUUGACACAAUGGCAGAUAAUGUGGAAUUCACAGGUUUGAUUUUGGAAAUCCAAAGGAACGUCGAUAACUAAUCACUUACUAAUUUGAAGUUUUUUUUAAAAUAGUGCUGAUUGAAGCUCAUUAAAAUGUGCACAUUUUUUGUUGCGGAGCUGUCUUCUCUUAUUUUUAAAACUUAUCAUCUAGAUUGUGACGGAUAGUUGGAUAGAGAAUGCUGUCAAUGGGCUAAUGGGCAAGCAGAACAUGGUUCUGACCGGACUGAGUUCUUGAAGCUCUCUAACAGAAUAAAGUACACAAUUCAAACUUGGUAUCUUCUAUAAUUUGAGGAGUUGAUGGUAUCAUGUAUUUUUUGAUUUGUCUGACAUAAUCAUAGUUAUUUUUAAGUUGUUGUAGAUCCUUUAUGUAAUUUAUUUUUUGAAUUCUGUUAUGGAGUUCAAAUUAUAUAUAUAUUUUUUUAUUUACAUGGAAAA